AAGCACCGGCUAACUCCGUGCCAGCAGCCGCGGUAAUACGGAGGGUGCGAGCGUUAAUCGGAAUUACUGGGCGUAAAGGGUGCGUAGGUGGUUUGAUAAGUUAGUUGUGAAAGCCCUGGGCUCAACCUGGGAACUGCAACUAAGACUGUUAGACUCGAGUAUAGGAGAGGGUAGUGGAAUUUCCGGUGUAGCGGUGAAAUGCGUAGAGAUCGGAAGGAACACCAGUGGCGAAGGCGGCUACCUGGCCUGAUACUGACACUGAGGCACGAAAGCGUGGGGAGCAAACAGGAUUAGAUACCCUGGUAGUCCACGCUGUAAACGAUGUCAAC
rnacentral:rRNA from 1 species